rnacentral:lncRNA from 1 species
GGGAAGGGAAGAGAGAGGGAGACACAGAACCCGAAGCAGGCUCCAGGCUCCGAGCUGUCAGCCCAGAGCCCGACGCGGGGCUUGAACUCAGAACCAUGAGAUCAUGACCUGAGCCCAAGUCAGAUGCUCAACCGGCUGAGCCCCCAGGGACCCCUCAACUGCCACUUUCUGAACGGCUGGCCCUUGGAAGCACCAACCUUUGUAAAAUCCACGCGGGAUGGAAAAUGGUGGUGGGAAAAGCGCCAGCCCCCUGUGAAAAAAUUUAGAUUUUGAGAGAGGGAGAGAGGAUCCCAAGCAGGCUCCACCCAAGGACCACGUGAACCAGGGCCCGGCGAGCGGAGUGUGCGUGGACAGUGUUUGUUGAUCGAGUCCUGGAUGUGUGCACGCGGUGGGUCAGGGCUCUGUGCGGGGAGACGGGUUGGUGGAGAGGCCUCCCUAAGACGGGACUGGGGACUCGAGGGGGAGGCGAGGGCUCCGGAGGGCAGGUCAUGUGGGGUCAUGUGAACGCAGGGAAGGCCCACAGGGGGGCUUGUCCCCGGGGCGCUGUGGGCAUCCCCUCUCCUUCCCAGCUCCCAGGGACAAGGCUCUGCUUGGAGGCUCAGGUCGCCUCGCUUCCCUUGGAGACGGGCUGUCUCAGGAGAGGGACCCCGUGGAUCUGCAGGGAGAGGCACACACGUCCCCUGGCCCCUGAAGGGCACCCUCUCCUCCUGUUCACCCAACUGCAAGGACCCGAGGGGGCUGGAGAGAACGAAGAAUCCAGAAGGGAGCAGGGGAACACAGGCCUCUAGAGUUGUUUUCUGCAGGCGCUUCUGGGGGCAGAAAUCACGGUGCGCUCGGCGGCUCCCUUCCUGCAGCCGUGGGCCCCCACCCCCUCCCGCGCCGUCCCCGUCCUCCGUCCAAUGCGAGCGUUGAGCAAUCCCAGCCGGUUAGAAAUCCCGAGCCCAGAAAUAAAGUGACUGUUGCCUUCGUGCCCUUGCUCGUUUGCUCGGGGUCCCGACGGGGGCAGGGGCGAGGCCUGCAGGAAGCAGGUGGCCUGGCCUACUGUACAUUUCGGAAUAUUUCAACUGCAAGGCUGGCC